GAUGAACGCUGGCGGCGUGCCUAAUACAUGCAAGUCGAGCGAACAGACGAGGAGCUUGCUCCUCUGACGUUAGCGGCGGACGGGUGAGUAACACGUGGAUAACCUACCUAUAAGACUGGGAUGACUUCGGGAAACCGGAGCUAAUACCGGAUAAUAUAUUGAACCGCAUGGUUCAAUAGUGAAAGACGGUUUUGCUGUCACUUAUAGAUGGAUCCGCGCCGCAUUAGCUAGUUGGUAAGGUAACGGCUUACCAAGGCGACGAUGCGUAGCCGACCUGAGAGGGUGAUCGGCCACACUGGAACUGAGACACGGUCCAGACUCCUACGGGAGGCAGCAGUAGGGAAUCUUCCGCAAUGGGCGAAAGCCUGACGGAGCAACGCCGCGUGAGUGAUGAAGGUCUUCGGAUCGUAAAACUCUGUUAUUAGGGAAGAACAAAUGUGUAAGUAACUAUGCACGUCUUGACGGUACCUAAUCAGAAAGCCACGGCCAACUACGUG
rnacentral:rRNA from 1 species